rnacentral:rRNA from 1 species
UGCAGUCGAACGGCAGCACGGAGCUUGCUCUGGUGGCGAGUGGCGAACGGGUGAGUAAUAUAUCGGAACGUACCCUAGAGUGGGGGAUAACGUAGCGAAAGUUACGCUAAUACCGCAUACGAUCUAAGGAUGAAAGUGGGGGAUCGCAAGACCUCAUGCUCGUGGAGCGGCCGAUAUCUGAUUAGCUAGUUGGUAGGGUAAAAGCCUACCAAGGCAUCGAUCAGUAGCUGGUCUGAGAGGACGACCAGCCACACUGGAACUGAGACACGGUCCAGACUCCUACGGGAGGCAGCAGUGGGGAAUUUUGGACAAUGGGCGAAAGCCUGAUCCAGCAAUGCCGCGUGAGUGAAGAAGGCCUUCGGGUUGUAAAGCUCUUUUGUCAGGGAAGAAACGGUGAAAGCUAAUAUCUUUUGCUAAUGACGGUACCUGAAGAAUAAGCACCGGCUAACUACGUGCCAGCAGCCGCGGUAAUACGUAGGGUGCAAGCGUUAAUCGGAAUUACUGGGCGUAAAGCGUGCGCAGGCGGUUUUGUAAGUCUGAUGUGGAAUCCCCGGGCUCAACCUGGGAAUUGCAUUGGAGACUGCAAGGCUAGAAUCUGGCAGAGGGGGGUAGAAUUCCACGUGUAGCAGUGAAAUGCGUAGAUAUGUGGAGGAACACCGAUGGCGAAGGCAGCCCCCUGGGUCAAGAUUGACGCUCAUGCACG